rnacentral:rRNA from 1 species
CCUACGGGCGGCAGCAGUGGGGAAUAUUGGGCAAUGGGCGCAAGCCUGACCCAGCAACGCCGCGUGAAGGAAGAAGGCUUUCGGGUUGUAAACUUCUUUUGUCAGGGAAGAGUAGAAGACGGUACCUGACGAAUAAGCCACGGCUAACUACGUGCCAGCAGCCGCGGUAAUACGUAGGUGGCAAGCGUUGUCCGGAUUUACUGGGUGUAAAGGGCGUGUAGCCGGGUUGACAAGUCAGAUGUGAAAUCCUGCGGCUUAACCGCAGAACUGCAUUUGAAACUGUUGAUCUUGAGUACUGGAGAGGCAGAUGGAAUUCCUAGUGUAGCGGUGAAAUGCGUAGAUAUUAGGAGGAACACCAGUGGCGAAGGCGGUCUGCUGGACAGCAACUGACGCUGAGGCUCGAAAGCGUGGGGAGCAAACAGGAUUAGAUACCCGAGUAUC